GGAACAUUUCACAAUGAGUGUCCUGACCAAGGCCAAGAAUGGAGGCGGGCAAUGGCAGAGGCCUACUCUGAGGCCUGGGCUAGGGCUGUCCUGUGCAUCAGGACGACUGACAGCAGAGCCGCAAGCACAGCUUAUCAAGCUGCCACAUAUGAGUUUCCUCCUGGAGGGGCAAGAUGGGGAGAGUGGCCAUCGCUGAACAGAGGCCAUCAGUUCCAUGUCCCUGGAGGGACUCAGUAUCAGCAAUAACCACAUGAGUGAGCCUGCCCCAGACCCUUCCUCAGUCAGCCUUAAGAAGGAAAUCUUCGACUCCAUUGAUAUCUGGCCUGCAGCUUAGGAGAGGUCUCCAGAGACCAUGCCUGGAGCCACAAGAACUAAGAGGGGAAGAAACUGAAGUCCAGCGAGAUUGAUGGUCCUGACCGAUCAUCUAAUUGGAACUGACAAGCCAGGCUUUGGACGUACACUUGUUGGGCUCUGAGGCCCCUGCUUUCUCCACUUCCAGGAUGUCUCUCCCUGAGACUUGCGCAGACAGGACAGCUCAUUCCCCCACCGGGACGAGGAGACGAGGGACUUCCACAGAAUGAGAAGUCUCCCCAUAACUGAAUUUUGUUGUUAUUACUCUACUGGAAAGAAGUUGUGCCAAGUUCCUUGUCUCAUCAUCUGGAAGUUCAACUUCUUACGGGUUCUACUAUUGAUUGGUAUUUGGGCUGCUUCCAGUUCGGCGCUAUUAUAAAAUAAUGCUUCUCUGGCCAGCCUUGCACAUAUCGCCUGAUGGACAGACGUACACCUUUCUGCUGAGAGCACACCUAGGAGUAACUUACUUGGCAACAGGGAGCCAAGCUUCUACCUUUAAUUGUUGAUAUUAUCAAAAUGCUUUUCAAUGAAAUUGUCCCUAUCACACUCCCAAUGUAGCCAAAUUUAUCAAUAUUUGCAUAGAUGGUUUUUUAGUGGAUUAAAAAUAUUUGAAAAUUAUAAGUAUUCAGUUGUGAACCCAAAUUUUGAAAGUGAUUAAAAGAAGACAAUAAAAAAAAUCUGUUCUAUU